UGCUCAAAGAUGAACUGCAGUGAUUCUCACGGUCCUUCCUCAGCCCUCAUCCAAGACUGCCCUCCACCACGCACCCAAAGCUGCCCUCCGCUCGCAAGGAUUCUCCUUUGUGAGCCUCCACAGCCGCCGCCCCACACUGGGCCUCCGGGGAAAAGCCACCGCCCCCACCCGCCAUAUUUCCCUGAUAGGCGUCCGCGUUGCAGCUCCUGGUGCUACUCUCCCCCAUGUGGCGAGUGUUUCUUUCCCCCAUCACCCCACCCAAUUGUUCUCCACAUCCCAAGAUGACCCAGAAGCUCCCCUGGGGACUGCUCGCCGGGAGAUAACACCCGCCAUCUCCUCCCCCUCCCCCGCCCCGGGACUCGCCCUCCCCCCAGCCGCCAUUUUACAACCAACUCCUCCACCCUUUCGCCUCGGCCUCCUGGCCCGCCAGUGUCUGCAGCGGAGGAGACCAAAGGGAUCAAAUUCCUGGGCCUGGGGCCUGCCACCGCUCCGGGAGCCCACAGGCCAUCUCCUACUUCUCGAAUCCACAUCCCCGGCCAGGCUCGGAGGCGAUGCCGCCAUUUUGUCUCCUGUUCCCGGCCUCUGUGGGCGGCGGCAGAGGGUCCGACAAUUCCAGCCCCCUGUUGCCCCCCCAACUUACCGUCGUAUCGCUCAGCCUGCUCGGCCAGCUUCGCCUGGUACACCAGAUCCUCCCGAUCAUCCAUAGCGGCAGCGGCUCCGGCAGGGUCUGCGCGACGGAUGGAAGCGGAUAGCGUCUCCGACUCUCUCAGCCUCUCGCUCCGUGUCCGGGCAGCAAAAAUGGCGGCGCCUCAAUCCGGGACUUCCGCCUGCGCACGCGGACAACUGCUCAGCUCUAUGGCAACCGCUCCCUGGCAACUGGCGCGGGGGGCGGGUCCGGGAGCUCUGAGCCCGAAGACGCUGGAACCAGCUAGACGUCCCUCCUCCACGGGCUCCGCGGGUGUUGGAGAGCUGAGGCGGGAACUGCGACGCCUGGGAGGAGAGCAGCCCCGAGAGAGGGCGGGGUGGGGGGCCCCGCCUGGACCGCUCCUGAAGCGAGCGACCCAUCAUGGAUAGGAACAAGGAAGUUGUUAGAGAAGUCUCCUGUCCAGUGCAGGGUGUGGAAGAGUGGGACGGAGAUUAAAUCGAGCUUGAGGAGGCAGGACCGGGAAAGAACUGGCCUGUUUUGCUUCCUAGUGGAUUCCCAGCACCUCGUACUCAAUAAAUAUUGGUUGCAAAACUGAA